CAACUCGCCUGCAUGAAGUUGGAAUUGCUAGUAAUCGCGAAUCAGAAUGUCGCGGUGAAUACGUUCCCGGGCCUUGUACACACCGCCCGUCACACCAUGAGAGUCGAUAACACCCGAAGCCUGUGAGCUAACCGCAAGGGGGCAGCAGUCGAAGGUGGGGUUGAUGAUUGGGGUGAAGUCGUAACAAGGUACC
rnacentral:rRNA from 1 species